rnacentral:rRNA from 1 species
UACAGAGGUCUCAAGCGUUGUUCGGAUUCAUUGGGCGUAAAGGGUGCGUAGGCGGCGCGGUAAGUCGGGUGUGAAAUCUUGGAGCUUAACUCCGAAACUGCAUUCGAUACUGCCGUGCUUGAGGACUGGAGAGGAGACUGGAAUUUACGGUGUAGCAGUGAAAUGCGUAGAUAUCUGGAGGAACACCGGUGGCGAAGGCGGCAUCCUGGACCACGACUGACGCUGAGUGAGCGAAAGCCAGGGGAGCAAACGGG